CAAUAGCGUAUAUUAAAGUUGUUGCGGUUAAAAAGCUCGUAGUUGGAUUUCUGCCGAGGACGACCGGUCCGCCCUCUGGGUGAGUAUCUGGCUUGGCCUGGGCAUCUUCUUGGAGAACGUAGCUGCACUUGACUGUGUGGUGCGGUAUCCAGGACUUUUACUUUGAGGAAAUUAGAGUGUUUCAAGCAGGCAUGCGCCUUGAAUACAUUAGCAUGGAAUAAUAAGAUAGGACCUCGGUUCUAUUUUGUUGGUUCUAGAGCUGAGGUAAUGAUUAAUAGGGAUAGUUGGGGGCAUUCGUAUUUAACUGUCAGAGGUGAAAUUCUUGGAUUUGUUAAAGACGGACUACUGCGAAAAGCAUUUUGCCAAGGAUGUUUUCAUUGAUCAAGAACGAAAGUUAGGGGAUCGAAGAUGAUCAGAU
rnacentral:rRNA from 1 species